rnacentral:rRNA from 1 species
AGAACGAACGCUGGCGGCAUGCCUAACACAUGCAAGUCGAACGCUCUUGGGAUUUCGGUCUCAAGGGAGUGGCGCACGGGUGAGUAGCGCGUGGGAACCUGCCCUGUUGUGGGGAUAACCGAGGGAAACUUCGGCUAAUACCGCAUGCGCCCCCGGGAGUGAUCCUGGGGGGAAAGAUUUAUCGCAGCAGGAGGGGCCCGCGUCGGAUUAGGUAGUUGGUGGGGUAACGGCCCACCAAGCCUGUGAUCCGUAGCUGGUCUGAGAGGAUGAUCAGCCACACUGGGACUGAGACACGGCCCAGACUCCUACGGGAGGCAGCAGUGGGGAAUAUUGGACAAUGGGCGCAAGCCUGAUCCAGCAAUGCCGCGUGAGUGAUGAAGGCCCUAGGGUUGUAAAGCUCUUUUGUGCGGGAAGAUAAUGACGGUACCGCAAGAAUAAGCCCCGGCUAACUUCGUGUCAGCAGCCGC